CCCUGCCAUUUGUACACACCGCCCGUCGCACCUACCGAUUGAAUGACUCGAUGAAAAAUUGGGACCGUGAAUUGACUUGCUUCAUUGCGAAUCUUUUCGUGGGAACUUUUUUUAAUCUCGCCAUUUAGAGGAAGGUGAAGUCGUAACAAG
rnacentral:rRNA from 1 species